UACGUAGGGUGCAAGCGUUGUCCGGAAUUAUUGGGCGUAAAGAGCUCGUAGGCGGCUUGUCGCGUCGACCGUGAAAACUUGGGGCUCAACCCCAAGCCUGCGGUCGAUACGGGCAGGCUCGAGUUCGGUAGGGGAGACUGGAAUUCCUGGUGUAGCGGUGAAAUGCGCAGAUGUCAGGAGGAACACCGAUGGCGAAGGCAGGUCUCUGGGCCGAUACUGACGCUGAGGAGCGAAAGCGUGGGGAGCGAACAGG
rnacentral:rRNA from 1 species